UCGCUAGUAAUCGCGGAUCAGCAUGCCGCGGUGAAUACGUUCCCGGGCCUUGUACACACCGCCCGUCACACCACGAGAGUUGGUAACACCCGAAGUCGGUGAGGUAACCUUUUGGAGCCAGCCGCCGAAGGUGGGACCAAUGAUUGGGGUGAAGUCGUAACAAGGUAGCCGUAUCGGAAGGUGCGGCUGGAUCACCUCCUU
rnacentral:rRNA from 1 species